AGGGAUGGGCCUGGCCAAGAUCCCACGGCCAUUUGCUGGGGACAGGUGUCCGGGCCACCCGCUCCAAACACCUGCCUACUCCCAGGCGGCCCGCCAGGAAGCGCUGGCCGAAAGAAGGACCUCCAGUUGACUAGAAGUGGUGAGUCUGGGCGUCUCGGCCUUGUUUCCGAUCCCAGAGGACAGCUUCCAGCUUCUCACCGUCAAAGAUGAUGCUAGCUGUGGGGUGUCAUAUACGGCCUUUAUUAGGGUGUUCUCGUGAUUUUUAUCCUCCACCUGGUCAACGCGGUGAAUCCCGUUGGUGGCUGCGUGGCUGUCGAACUACCCUCGCAUCCCUGGAAUGAACCCCGCUCGGCCGCAGUGAGUGGUCGUGUGGACUGUUGAAUCUG